CCUACGGGGGGCUGCAGUGGGGAAUAUUGGACAAUGGGGGCAACCCUGAUCCAGCCAUGCCGCGUGUGUGAAGAAGGCCCUCGGGUUGUAAAGCACUUUCAGUGAGGAAGAACGCCUGGUGGUUAAUACCCAUCAGGAAAGACAUCACUCACAGAAGAAGCACCGGCUAACUCCGUGCCAGCAGCCGCGGUAAUACGGAGGGUGCGAGCGUUAAUCGGAAUUACUGGGCGUAAAGCGCGCGUAGGUGGCUUGAUAAGCCGGUUGUGAAAGCCCCGGGCUCAACCUGGGAACGGCAUCCGGAACUGUCAAGCUAGAGUGCAGGAGAGGAAGGUAGAAUUCCCGGUGUAGCGGUGAAAUGCGUAGAGAGCGGGAGGAAUACCAGUGGCGAAGGCGGCCUUCUGGACUGACACUGACACUGAGGUGCGAAAGCGUGGGUAGCAAACAGGAUUAGAUACCCUGGUAGUC
rnacentral:rRNA from 1 species